CCCUUAGAUGUUCUGGGCGGCCCGCGCACUACAAUGGCGUGUGCAGCGAGUGCCGAAGUAGAGUUUUCCGAGGUAUUCUUGCAAUGCUCGUUUUGAUGGGGAUAGACCCUUGCAACUGUUGGUUUUGAACGAGGAAUUCCCAGUAAGCGCGAGUCAUAAGCUCGCGUUGAUUACGUCCCUGCCCUUUGUACACACCGCCCGUCGCUACUACCGAUUGAACGGUUUAGUGAGGGCCUCGGAUUGGUCUCGGCCCGCUCUUUACCGGGCGGCGCCGUUGGUCGAGAAGACGCUCGAACUUGAUCGUUUAGAGGAAGUAAAAGUCGUAACA
rnacentral:rRNA from 1 species